rnacentral:rRNA from 1 species
UACGUAGGGUGCAAGCGUUGUCCGGAAUUAUUGGGCGUAAAGAGCUCGUAGGCGGUCUGUCGCGUCGGCUGUGAAAACCCGGAGCUCAACUCCGGGCCUGCAGUCGAUACGGGCAGACUGGAGUUCGGCAGGGGAGACUGGAAUUCCUGGUGUAGCAGUGAAAUGCGUAGAUAUCAGGAGGAACACCGAUGGCGAAGGCAGGUCUCUGGGCUGACACUGACGCUCAUGCACGAAAGCGUGGGGAGCAAACAGG